UGGGGAAUAUUGCACAAUGGGCGCAAGCCUGAUGCAGCCAUGCCGCGUGUAUGAAGAAGGCCUUCGGGUUGUAAAGCACUUUCAGCGGGGAGGAAGGCGAUAAGGUUAAUAACCUUGUCGAUUGACGUUACCCGCAGAAGAAGCACCGGCUAACUCCGUGCCAGCAGCCGCGGUAAUACGGAGGGUGCAAGCGUUAAUCGGAAUUACUGGGCGUAAAGCGCACGCAGGCGGUUUGUUAAGUCAGAUGUGAAAUCCCCGGGCUCAACCUGGGAACUGCAUCUGAUACUGGCAAGCUUGAGUCUCGUAGAGGGGGGUAGAAUUCCAGGUGUAGCGGUGAAAUGCGUAGAGAUCUGGAGGAAUACCGGUGGCGAAGGCGGCCCCCUGGACGAAGACUGACGCUCAGGUGCGAAAGCGUGGGAGCAAACAGG
rnacentral:rRNA from 1 species